AGAAGCUUAGGUUAAAAUUAAACCAAGGACCUUCAAAGCCCAAAAUAUGGACCAACCCCCAUAGCCUCU
rnacentral:tRNA from 1 species